GUAGAAUGACAAUAAACUACUUCUGACUUACAAUUUUACCGUCAUCACUAAUAAAACUCUACGCGCUAUAGUAUUGGAAAUGGGUGCUGGGUCAAAUCAUUAAGAAGGACGACUUUUUCAAACAGGUUUAUAAGGUGAAUAAUAAAUAAUAAUAGAGGUAUAAUCAUGCGUCAAAAGUAGUUUAUUGCUUAUUAUAGAGAGAUAACUUGGUGUAUAGCCCUUUAUACAACUUUGUGAGAGGGUGAUAACAGUAUGAAGAGUGAAUAGCAGAAGAUACAAUGCUAACUAUGCAAAAAGUUUGAAACUUUUGUAACUUCUAAUCAAUAUACAUUAGUUUCAAAGUAGUUUAGUGUUUGACACAGUUAAUUGCUACAAUUAGCUAUUGAUUAAUUACAUGCUAUGAAGAUAUCAUAUUCAAGGGCUUAAUUCUCUGUCUUGGGCUUUAGUGGAUGAUGACAAUGAAAAAAUAUAACUAGUA
rnacentral:sRNA from 2 species